CUAUUUGUUAAUUUGAUUGUAGGAUGGUUCUCCACAAGACUAAAUGAGGAGCAUUUGCACUUGCUCGAUUGAAGGUUUAUGAGGGUGUCCCCCCACCGUAUGACAAGAUGAAGAGGAUUGUCAUUCUAGAUGCUCUCAAGUGAGUUGAUAGUGUGGUCUUUCUUUCUUUGUUUGUUAUAAAAAUGUGGUGCAUUAGAAUCUUUUCAACUUACUGUUUGAUGAUUAGGGUUCUGAGGCUCCAAGCUGGACAUAAGGACUGUUUGUUGGGUAGAGACUCAUCAGAAUUCGGAUGGAACCAUUAUGAUACUAUAAGGGUGAGUUUACAUGCUACCAUUCCUGUGCACACUGUUGUGCAAAUCAAUCACCUUUGGAUUUGCAGUAUGUCACAUUAACAUGAGUUGUCUUGUUUAGCCCCUGUGUUGAGCCCGAACUUAUAUUCAACCACUGAUUCUCCCAGUAAAAUAAUUUUACGUACAAACUUUUUCUCACUUUUUAAUCAUACAUUUAAAAAAAAAUCCCCUUUAUGAAAUCUAUUCUCAUAAAAUGGGGUUCGGACGGGGGCUAAAUGGUUGAUCAUUAUCUUUAUAGCCG
rnacentral:lncRNA from 1 species